GGACACGAUCGGUUUCGUCAGCCACCUCCAUAUCUACGUACACAGCAGAAAAAGAAGUUAAACAGAUCAUAUUAUAUAUAUAUAUAGAGAGAGAGAGAGAAGACAAAGCUUCUUCACCUGCGGAGAUGAUAAGAACGAGAGCAACGAGGAGGAGAGCUGAAGGGAUCGGCUUGGCGGAUUUAGUUACAGCCAUUACUGAGAUCGCCUUUGCUGGUGGCUUCAACUCAUCCCAUCUUAGCUCGUCUUUUAUAGACCGGUCGAUAAAAGUAGGGUAAAGGGAGCGAAUCUUUUUUCUAAUUUAUUAUUGCCAGUAUAUAAAACGGGUUAUUCGCUAAAAAAAUUUAAUAAUAAAAUUUUAUCUAUUCUCAUAUUUAGUUUUUAUCAAAAGAAAUUCUUUUUUUUUUCAUUCUAGACUAAAA
rnacentral:lncRNA from 1 species